ACCUGAGUAGCUUAUAUAAUCAGAGCAUGGCACUGAAGAUGCUAAGGAAGCGAUUUCCGCUCUCGGGUA
rnacentral:tRNA from 1 species